rnacentral:rRNA from 1 species
GAAUUGACGGGGGCCCGCACAAGCGGUGGAGCAUGUGGUUUAAUUCGAAGCGGCGCGAAGAACCUUACCAGGUCUUGACAUCCCGCUGACCGGUCCGUAACGGGGCCUUCCCUUCGGGGCAGCGGAGACAGGUGGUGCAUGGUUGUCGUCAGCUCGUGUCGUGAGAUGUUGGGUUAAGUCCCGCAACGAGCGCAACCCUUACGGUCGGUUGGUACAUUAAGUUGACAACUCCGGCCGGACUGCCGUUGACAAAACGGAGGAAGGUGGGGAUGACGUCAAAUCAUCAUGCCCCUUAAGAUCUGGGCUACACACGUACUACAAUGGCGCAGAGACAAAGGGAAGCGACCCUGUGAAGGUGAGCGAAUCCCAAAAAAGCCGUCCCAGUUCGGAUUGUAGUCUGCAACUCGACUACAUGAAGCCGGAAUCGCUAGUAAUCGCGAAUCAGCAUGUCGUGGUGAAUACGUUCCCGGGCCUUGUACACACCG